CCCAAGUUCGCGCCGUUUGCACCACAACCCCCACCUCGUGGCCGACGCCACCAAUCACCGAUUUUAACGCCGAUUCACCCAGCUUUUCAGCGAGGGCAGCACACUACCCCCCUCCUUUUGUCGAAGAAGAAAACGCAAAUAUAUAAAAGUAAUUUCGUGAGUGUGGGUCAGUAAAGCCCCGCGUCGUUUUGAUUUAUUUGCGAUGCAUCUCGAGGCGGUUGAGUGAUGUCGGGCACAUGAUCUCCGCGCCGCGACUCCUGAAGUUACCUUUUUCGUUACCUUAACGUGAGUUUUACCUUUUCCACCUUAAGUGCGGGUUCCUUCCAGUUUCACCGUGUUUUGUCGGGAAAUCUCCUUACUGGUAUCUACAGUUUUUACUAAUAUUUCAUAAGAUCUCAAACCUCAGAAAAUGAAGAGGAUUAUAGCAACUUUACCUUUACUCCUUGCAAUCGCUUCCCAUGUGGCCUUGGUAAGUCCAGUAAUAUUCUUAAACGUUAUUAUUCUUCUUAUUUUGCUCGCGUAUUUAUUAACUUUUUCGGCGGAUAAAUUUACUUACUCCUAGGUGUCUUCAAAAUAUGUGAACACCAGAGCUAAAGUUCCAAUUACGAAUAA
rnacentral:lncRNA from 1 species